CAAACAAAUCUGACAGUAGUGAAGGUCAUUGGGUGAACUGUGUAUGUGAUUAGCUUUGAUUUGUUUACUGUCGAUUUUCCAGUCUCUCUCAGAACUUCCUGAAUCCACAGACAUGAAAGACAUCCCCCUCAGUUCUCUCUUCUCUUUUGAUGUCCUGAGAGAAUUUGUCCAUCAGAUGCGAGACAAACUGGAGGAUUUCUGCAAAGAGGACAUCACAAAGAGCUCAGACAGAGUCACAUUUACCAACAUUGUUUCCCAGGACCAGGAAUGACUUCCUACAGUAUUCCCAUCAGUUCACUCUGGAUCCAAACAUAGUGAAUAAAAACCUCUCUCUGUCUGAGAGCAACAGAGAGGUUACUUACACUGACACAGAACAGUCGUAUCCUGAUCAUCCAGACAGAUUUGAUGAUGUGUGUCAGGUGUUGUGUAGAGAGAGUGUGUGUGGACGCAG